UACAGAGGUCUCAAGCGUUGUUCGGAUUCAUUGGGCGUAAAGGGUGCGUAGGCGGUUUGUCGCGUCGGGAGUGAAAUCCACUGGCUUAACUGGUGGCUUGCUUUCGAUACGGGCAGACUGGAGGUAUGCAGGGGAGAACGGAAUUCCUGGUGUAGCGGUGAAAUGCGCAGAUAUCAGGAGGAACACCGGUGGCGAAGGCGGUUCUCUGGGCAUGUCCUGACGCUGAGGAGCGAAAGUGUGGGGAGCAAACAGG
rnacentral:rRNA from 1 species